rnacentral:rRNA from 1 species
AUUGAACGCUGGCGGCAGGCUUAACACAUGCAAGUCGAGCGGAGCGAGGGUGCUUGCACCUUAGCUUAGCGGCGGACGGGUGAGUAAUGCUUAGGAAUCUGCCUAUUAGUGGGGGACAACAUUCCGAAAGGAAUGCUAAUACCGCAUACGCCCUACGGGGGAAAGCAGGGGAUCUUCGGACCUUGCGCUAAUAGAUGAGCCUAAGUCGGAUUAGCUAGUUGGUGGGGUAAAGGCCUACCAAGGCGACGAUCUGUAGCGGGUCUGAGAGGACGAUCCGCCACACUGGGACUGAGACACGGCCCAGACUCCUACGGGAGGCAGCAGUGGGGAAUAUUGGACAAUGGGCGGAAGCCUGAUCCAGCCAUGCCGCGUGUGUGAAGAAGGCCUUUUGGUUGUAAAGCACUUUAAGCGAGGAGGAGGCUACUAGUAUUAAUACUACUGGAUAGUGGACGUUACUCGCAGAAUAAGCACCGGCUAACUCUGUGCCAGCCGCCGCCGUAACAC